rnacentral:snoRNA from 1 species
UGGCCAUUAUGACAAAAGUGUGUCAGAAGUGAUAUCUGAUAUUCUUCCUCAGUCA